rnacentral:piRNA from 1 species
UGCCAUGAUAGAAUCAGGAUCAUUGGUCU